UCCCAGAAAGCCUGUCAGAGUUCCACUUGGGGAACACCCGUCUUCUUCCCGCCCCACCUUAACUAUGCAGGUACCGGACAUGUGCUGACCCACUCAGGGCUGGACUGGCUGGAGGCACAGGAACCAGAUGGGGCUGUUCCAGGGCGGCCAACAGACAGACACACGGAGCUGCCCAGUAACUGGCCUUGGACAGGUUCCUCAGUGCAAAGGGGAAGCAGACCAGCUACUCAGUGAUGUAAGAACCAGUGAAUCAGCUCCGCAGAGGCAGGGGCUCCAGGCCGUCCUCCAAGCUCAGCUGAUAUCUGGACAAAAUGCUUCUGAAGGCCACCUCAUGAUGUGAUACCCUCAUGCUGUGAAUCCCGUGCAGGAAUGCUGCGGCAGUUUGCACGCAUCCAUCGUCCUCGGGACCGAGUCCUCUCACCUACACACAGCACGUGGGUGUGUCUGGCAGUGCUCUCACCUGCAGCUGUCUGUGUGCUGCCUCUGGCUGGUCUCCAGCACCAGUGACCGGCCUCCCUAGAGCUCAGUACCUUCAGGUUCACCAUUUAAAAUGCAGGGAAUGUGGCCCUGCUGGUGUGGCUCAGUGGGUUGGGUGUCGUCUUGCAAGCCACAGGGUCCCUGGUUGGAUUCCCAGUCAGAGCACAGGUGUGGCCACGCCCUUGGUUGGGUCCCAGGGUCCUCGGAUUUUUCUUAAAACCUAUCUGCUAUAGGCCCUUCACAAUUUUUAAACCUUCCAUCGGUGUGACUCUCUUUUUGUCAGUGGACAGCCUACAGCACAUACAUUUUACCAAGAACCUGAGGACCCUCCUAGCCAACCCUUGCAGGCUGUGGCUGGGGCCAGAGGGAGAGGCUGGG